rnacentral:rRNA from 1 species
GACGGGGGAUGCAAGCGUUAUCCGGAAUGAUUGGGCGUAAAGGGUCCGCAGGUGGCCCGGUCAGUCCGCUGUCAAAGCCUGGGGCUCAACCCUGGAGAGGCGGCGGAGACCACCGGGCUUGAGUCCGGUAGGGGCAGAGGGAAUUCCCGGUGGAGCGGUGAAAUGCGUAGAUAUUGGAAAGACCACCGAUGGCGAAGGCACUCUACUGGGCCACUACUGACACUGAGAGACGAAAGCUAGGGGAGCAAAUGGG